AUUGAACGCUGGCGGCAGGCCUAACACAUGCAAGUCGAGCGGAUGAAGGGAGCUUGCUCCUGGAUUCAGCGGCGGACGGGUGAGUAAUGCCUAGGAAUCUGCCUGGUAGUGGGGGAUAACGUCCGGAAACGGGCGCUAAUACCGCAUACGUCCUGAGGUAGAAAGUGGGGGAUCUUCGGACCUCACGCUAUCAGAUGAGCCUAGGUCGGAUUAGCUAGUUGGUGGGGUAAAGGCUUACCAAGGCGACGAUCCGUAACUGGUCUGAGAGGAUGAUCAGUCACACUGGAACUGAGACACGGUCCAGACUCCUACGGGAGGCAGCAGUGGGGAAUAUUGGACAAUGGGCGAAAGCCUGAUCCAGCCAUGCCGCGUGUGUGAAGAAGGUCUUCGGAUUGUAAAGCACUUUAAGUUGGGAGGAAGGGCAGUAAGUUAAUACCUUGCUGUUUUGACGUUACCAACAGAAUAAGCACCGGCUAACUUCGUG
rnacentral:rRNA from 1 species